rnacentral:rRNA from 1 species
UUCCACAAAUAACCUAAUCCUCCAGCAAACAUAUGAACAACCCUAUCCCAAUAGGGGCUUUUAUGCUAAAACUACUAAUACGAGCAACCGCUCUACCCGCGCACUCGUCACUCAAGCAACACAGACAAUUAACAGACCACAGAAGGAUGGGCACAACCUAGUUAACAAAUACCCAAUACACUGUGAAUCCGACCCAGGUGCGCAAUUAGGUAAAAUUAAAAGUUACAAAAGGAACUCGGCAAACACAGAUUCCAACUGUUUACCAAAAACAUAGCCUUUAGCCCAACAAAUAUUGAAGGUAAUGCCUGCCCAGUGAAGCCACUUUCAACGGCCGCGGUACCCUAACCGUGCAAAGGUAGCGUAUCAUUUGUCCACUAAUUAUGGACCUGUAUGAAAGGCCACAUGAGAAUCUAACUGUCUCUUGUAACUAAUUUAUAAAACUGAUCUUCUAGUCCAAAAGCUAGAAUAUACAUAUAAGACGAGAAGACCCUGUGAAGCUUAAAAAAUCCCAUUAAACCAACUAAUGGGUAUUUUUAGUUGGGGCAACUUUGGAAAACAAUUUAACUUCCAAA